GUGGGGACAACAGAGGUGGCAUCAUCUAGGCUGGCAGACAGAAUCCUGAGCCCUGAGGGAGGCUGGCUUCAGAGAGCAAAUCUCUUCCACAGAGCUGAAGUGGGGGAGAUGGUGGAAUCCACUCACGCUUAAUGAUUUUCAUCUGUUCGUAGAGUCAAGGGGAAAAUGCUGGUAGUUACAUGAGUAGGAGCUCAGGGACCAUAAAGGAGGUUUGGAAGAGCCAUGUAGGGAUCACAUAAAUGGACUCCAGACUGAUUUGAAGACCAAAUCAGAGGUUCCAGUAACACCCCAGUAAGCAGGGCUGGUGAAAGCUCAAGCCUGAUGCUCUCCAACCACACAGCAGGAGACCUGCUGCCGAGGACUGAGAGGCAGCAGAGGUCUGAAGGGAAACUCAGGAGAACAGCCGAUUCUGAGCUUGAG
rnacentral:lncRNA from 1 species